rnacentral:rRNA from 1 species
GGGACACGUGGUAUCCUGUCUGAAUAUGGGGGGACCAUCCUCCAAGGCUAAAUACUCCUGACUGACCGAUAGUGAACCAGUACCGUGAGGGAAAGGCGAAAAGAACCCCGGCGAGGGGAGUGAAAAAGAACCUGAAACCGUGUACGUACAAGCAGUGGGAGCACGCUUAGGCGUGUGACUGCGUACCUUUUGUAUAAUGGGUCAGCGACUUAUAUUCUGUAGCAAGGUUAACCGAAUAGGGGAGCCGAAGGGAAACCGAGUCUUAACUGGGCGUUAAGUUGCAGGGUAUAGACCCGAAACCCGGUGAUCUAGCCAUGGGCAGGUUGAAGGUUGGGUAACACUAACUGGAGGACCGAACCGACUAAUGUUGAAAAAUUAGCGGAUGACUUGUGGCUGGGGGUGAAAGGCCAAUCAAACCGGGAGAUAGCUGGUUCUCCCCGAAAGCUAUUUAGGUAGCGCCUCGUGAAUUCAUCUCCGGGGGUAGAGCACUGUUUCGGCAAGGGGGUCAUCCCGACUUACCAACCCGAUGCAAACUGCGAAUACCGGAGAAUGUUAUCACGGGAGACACACGGCGGGUGCUAACGUCCGUCGUGAAGAGGGAAACAACCCAGACCGCCAGCUAAGGUCCCAAAGUCAUGGUUAAGUGGGAAACGAUGUGGGAAGGCCCAGACAGCCAGGAUGUUGGCUUAGAAGCAGCCAUCAUUUAAAGAAAGCGUAAUAGCUCACUGGUCGAGUCGGCCUGCGCGGAAGAUGUAACGGGGCUAAACCAUGCACCGAAGCUGCGGCAGCGACGCUUAUGCGUUGUUGGGUAGGGGAGCGUUCUGUAAGCCUGUGAAGGUGUGCUGUGAGGCAUGCUGGAGGUAUCAGAAGUGCGAAUGCUGACAUAAGUAACGAUAAAGCGGGUGAAAAGCCCGCUCGCCGGAAGACCAAGGGUUCCUGUCCAACGUUAAUCGGGGCAGGGUGAGUCGACCCCUAAGGCGAGGCCGAAAGGCGUAGUCGAUGGGAAACAGGUUAAUAUUCCUGUACUUGGUGUUACUGCGAAGGGGGGACGGAGAAGGCUAUGUUGGCCGGGCGACGGUUGUCCCGGUUUAAGCGUGUAGGCUGGUUUUCCAGGCAAAUCCGGAAAAUCAAGGCUGAGGCGUGAUGACGAGGCACUACGGUGCUGAAGCAACAAAUGCCCUGCUUCCAGGAAAAGCCUCUAAGCAUCAGGUAACAUCAAAUCGUACCCCAAACCGACACAGGUGGUCAGGUAGAGAAUACCAAGGCGCUUGAGAGAACUCGGGUGAAGGAACUAGGCAAAAUGGUGCCGUAACUUCGGGAGAAGGCACGCUGAUAUGUAGGUGAAGUCCCUCGCGGAUGGAGCUGAAAUCAGUCGAAGAUACCAGCUGGCUGCAACUGUUUAUUAAAAACACAGCACUGUGCAAACACGAAAGUGGACGUAUACGGUGUGACGCCUGCCCGGUGCCGGAAGGUUAAUUGAUGGGGUCAGCGCAAGCGAAGCUCUUGAUCGAAGCCCCGGUAAACGGCGGCCGUAACUAUAACGGUCCUAAGGUAGCGAAAUUCCUUGUCGGGUAAGUUCCGACCUGCACGAAUGGCGUAAUGAUGGCCAGGCUGUCUCCACCCGAGACUCAGUGAAAUUGAACUCGCUGUGAAGAUGCAGUGUACCCGCGGCAAGACGGAAAGACCCCGUGAACCUUUACUAUAGCUUGACACUGAACAUUGAGCCUUGAUGUGUAGGAUAGGUGGGAGGCUUAGAAGUGUGGACGCCAGUCUGCAUGGAGCCGACCUUGAAAUACCACCCUUUAAUGUUUGAUGUUCUAACGUGGACCCGUAAUCCGGGUUGCGGACAGUGUCUGGUGGGUAGUUUGACUGGGGCGGUCUCCUCCUAAAGAGUAACGGAGGAGCACGAAGGUUGGCUAAUCCUGGUCGGACAUCAGGAGGUUAGUGCAAUGGCAUAAGCCAGCUUGACUGCGAGCGUGACGGCGCGAGCAGGUGCGAAAGCAGGUCAUAGUGAUCCGGUGGUUCUGAAUGGAAGGGCCAUCGCUCAACGGAUAAAAGGUACUCCGGGGAUAACAGGCUGAUACCGCCCAAGAGUUCAUAUCGACGGCGGUGUUUGGCACCUCGAUGUCGGCUCAUCACAUCCUGGGGCUGAAGUAGGUCCCAAGGGUAUGGCUGUUCGCCAUUUAAAGUGGUACGCGAGCUGGGUUUAGAACGUCGUGAGACAGUUCGGUCCCUAUCUGCCGUGGGCGCUGGAGAACUGAGGGGGGCUGCUCCUAGUACGAGAGGACCGGAGUGGACGCAUCACUGGUGUUCGGGUUGUCAUGCCAAUGGCACUGCCCGGUAGCUAAAUGCGGAAGAGAUAAGUGCUGAAAGCAUCUAAGCACGAAACUUGCC